rnacentral:misc_RNA from 1 species
GAUGAAGAACGUAGCAAAAUGCUAUAAGUAAUGUGAAUUGCAGAAUUCAGUGAAUCAUCGAAUCUUUGAACGCACAUUGCGCCCGCUGGUAUUCCGGCGGGCAUGCCUGUUCGAGCGUCAUUUCAACCCUCAAGCCCCCGGGUUUGGUGUUGGGGAUCGGCUCUGCCCUUCUGGGCGGUGCCGCCCCCGAAAUACAUUGGCGGUCUCGCUGCAGCCUCCAUUGCGUAGUAGCUAACACCUCGCAACUGGAACGCGGCGCGGCCAUGCCGUAAAACCCCAACUUCUGAAUGUUGACCUCGGAUCAGGUAGGAAUACCCGCUGAACUUAAGCAUAUCAAUAAGCGGAGGA